rnacentral:lncRNA from 1 species
AAUUAUUAUAAUAAUACGAGUAUUAUUGAUAUUAUAAUAAAAAUACUCAAUUAGCAUAAUUAAAAAGAAAUUUGGUUAGUGACAGACGCAUCACUGUCACCGGCGAACCGCCGCCGAUCGACCACCCAACACCAGCGCCGCUCCUCUCUCCCUUCUCUCUCUCUCUUUUUCUCUUUAAAACCACCAGAAAACCCAUGCUUCGGCGAGCCGCGCGCCACCAGCAGCCUUUAUUGUGAGCCCAAAUGAAGCCAUCUUCAACCAAGCCCUACGCCACCAGCAGCUCUCAAACAACGCUGCUACCGCCCAUCCACGUAGCCUCCGCCCUCCACCAAAAAAGUGGGUAACUCCGUCGCCGAUCCAGCCCCCGUCAAACACCCCAUCCGCCGACGAAAAAAGCAACAGAAACAGGAGCUGCCAGCCCGAAGGACCACCACUGGUCCGCUUCUCUGCCGCCAUAAUUUCCACUCAUCGCCGGUGAAACCUGCGAAUCCAUCUAACUUGAUUGAUUCUUCCAACUUCGCGUCGUUCCUCGCCGUCAAUUCUCGCAGGCGCUGCUGUAGAUCAAUCUUCUCCGGCAGGAAGUCUUAGUUCAUUGCACCAUACAAGGUCGAGAUCCCUAUUUCGUGAAUCUUCAUCAUCAACGGGGCUGCUCCAUAUCUAAUUCUCUUUCCAACAAAUUUCUGAUACGCACAAUAAGGAUAUCUUCAAAUUCACCAAAUUGCCCUCAUCGGCCGCCGUUCCUCGCCGUCAAAUCUCGUCGAUGAUGCAAUAGAAUCUUCUCCAGUAUACGCAAAGCUUACAGAUUCUGAUUUUUAUACCCCCACUUUUCUCAAUCAAGAUUCAAGUAAGAGACCCUUUUGGCUUUUCUUGGUUGUGGAAUUGUUGGUUGAGCUGAAUAUUUGAGUUAACGAACAACAAGAAGAAGAAGAUAGGCACCAUCAUCAUCAUCAUCUCAAAGAAGAAGAACGCAAAGCGCGUGGAAAUUAGGUGACAGGAACACUAUUCCGGCGACACUAUUUCGGCGACCAAUUUCUACCACAAAUUGUCGGAAUCCAGCGACUCAACCAAGUAUAAGGACACAACACUACUAGAAAACUGGUUAUUACCUGGGGCUUUUCAUAGGUAUAAUGUGGUAAAAUUUCCAGGUAAUUUGAUUACCUGCAGAUUUUCUUACCAAUUAGAAUCCAAAGGAAAUAGCUUCGUAGGUAAUUAUUACCUACAGAUUUAUAAAGUCCCUAGGUAAUUUAGCUGUGGAAAUAAAUUCGCAGGUAUUUUAUUUGCGGAUUUACUUGCGUAUUUUACCUGCGGAUUUUUAUGAAAAAAAUCACAAAUUAUUCCCCACAAAAAUUUUCAAGUAAAUUCCUAGGUAAUUUAGCUGUGAAAAUAAAUCUGUGAGUACGUUAUUUGUGAAUUUAUUUGUGAUUAAACAUCAAAAUUUUGCAUGAAUUAUUUGAUAAAAUUUCAUAAAAAGAAUUUUACCUGCGGAUUUUCAGAAAAUAGAAAGAGUUUGAUGAUAUUCUUAUCCUAAAUGAAACAGAAAUAACAUUUGUAGGUACUUUCUCAAACAUAAGUGACCAUUUAGAGAAUUUACUCUUUUAUUUUUCAAUAUAUGCUUCCUUUAGCGGUGAAAUCACAAUUUUUAUUAUGUGCAUUAAUUUUAUUUUACUUAUCUACACAAUAUAAAUUUUUAGCAAAUCGACACCCUUUCAAACAAAAGUGGCUCUGCCAGUAUUGUUCUCGUUCAUAUCUUCGUAAUUGUGAUUCGGUGUAGUAAUAUCAAUUAAUAAAAUUACUUAAAGAUCUAAAUAUGAUAGCUACAAAUUGUUGAUUAGGAUUAAUUGUAUUCGGUAUUUCUUAUCAUAAAUGGUGUCUGAAAAGGCCUGUAGUGCGCAUGCCUGCUAUCUUACUCUUACCUUACCUCGUGAGGGUAGAAAAAUUAUUUCUGAGUAUUUCUUAUUUUCCAUGGUUCCCUUUUCUACUUCCUCUAAGCUUCGUUUCUUUGUGUUUGUAACAAACUAUAUAUACACAACAUUCAAGUGAAAGGAAGAAAUUGUACCAAAAAAGCAAUAUCUUUAUAUCACUUGAUUUUAAUAUCCAGCGUGUCAUUCAUGUUUCAGCCUUCACGUCACCUCCCACCAUGAUAUAUGGAUUCAUGAUUUAAACUUUUUAAUUCAAAAUCUCAAUUCUUAGAGUUCACAUACGAGUUUUAAAUUAGUAUUUUAGGUAUAGUAAAUAAAUUUCUUAAGACCAACAUAAGAUUUAAAUCAAAGUUACUUACAGUUACUUCUAUCGGCCCAUACAUGAAACUGUACGUCCUUUUUUGUCUACCAUCCACACUAUAUUCACCGCACACCUCACUGAAAAAAUAAAAAAAAAUUCAUAAACAUAAAAAUUAAAGUGUAUGGAACUCAUCGUGUCUUCACAUGCAUUAGAUAUCUAUAAACAACAUAGGUAAAAAAGAUUGAAAAAGGUACAUAUAUUAGGUUGCAAGAAAUGUUGAAUUAUCAAUUGUUCCCUCCAUUAUUUACUUUCCAAGAUUGUGUAGGACGACAACAUAGUCCUUUCAUAAUGAACAAACAGUUUAAAGAGGCUAUUGCACAUGCUUCUUUUUCUUCAUUUUUACCCAAAACUACUUGACAUCUAAAAGUUUCCCCUACCAAAAUUUUCUUCAAAUAGGUCUAUAUUAAUCUAUGACCUAUCACCGCCUUAAGAAGAAGAUAGGCACCAUCAUCAUCAUCAUCUCAAAGAAGAAGAACGCAAAGCGCGUGGAAAUUAGGUGACAGGAACACUAUUCCGGCGACACUAUUUCGGCGACCAAUUUCUACCACAAAUUGUCGGAAUCCAGCGACUCAACCAAGUAUAAGGACACAACACUACUAGAAAACUGGUUAUUACCUGGGGCUUUUCAUAGGUAUAAUGUGGUAAAAUUUCCAGGUAAUUUGAUUACCUGCAGAUUUUCUUACCAAUUAGAAUCCAAAGGAAAUAGCUUCGUAGGUAAUUAUUACCUACAGAUUUAUAAAGUCCCUAGGUAAUUUAGCUGUGGAAAUAAAUUCGCAGGUAUUUUAUUUGCGGAUUUACUUGCGUAUUUUACCUGCGGAUUUUUAUGAAAAAAAUCACAAAUUAUUCCCCACAAAAAUUUUCAAGUAAAUUCCUAGGUAAUUUAGCUGUGAAAAUAAAUCUGUGAGUACGUUAUUUGUGAAUUUAUUUGUGAUUAAACAUCAAAAUUUUGCAUGAAUUAUUUGAUAAAAUUUCAUAAAAAG